rnacentral:rRNA from 1 species
UACAGAGGUCUCAAGCGUUGUUCGGAUUCAUUGGGCGUAAAGGGUGCGUAGGCGGCGCGGUAAGUCGGGUGUGAAAUUUCGAGGCUUAACUUCGAAACUGCAUUCGAUACUGCCGUGCUUGAGGACUGGAGAGGAGACUGGAAUUCCUGGUGUAGCGGUGAAAUGCGCAGAUAUCAGGAGGAACACCGGUGGCGAAGGCGGGUCUCUGGGCCGUAACUGACGCUGAGGAGCGAAAGCGUGGGGAGCGAACAGG